rnacentral:rRNA from 1 species
AUGGAUUACACAUGUUUUGGGGAUGCUGUAUCAUUUGAUACCACUUUUCAGACUAACAAGUUUGAAAUGCCUUUUGCUCCAUUCGUUGGUACCAACCAUCACAAGCAGACAGUAAUUUUUGGUGCCGCGCUGAUAUUUAAUGAGAGUAUCGAUUCAUUUGUUUGGCUCUUUGAAACAUUUUUAAUAGCGAUGUCAGGCAAGCAUCCGAACACUAUUUUCACUGAUCAGGACAAGGCCAUGGACGGAGCAAUUGCAUAUGUGUUCCCAAAUACAAGUCAUCGGCUUUGUUUGUGGCACAUUUAUCUUAGUGCUGCAAAACAUCAUGGGCAUGUAAUUCAUGAGCAUCCUGAGAAGUUUUUACCUGAUUUUAAGAAAUGUGUCUAUGAAGAUAGGUCAGAAUUUUACUUCAAUAAAAAAUGGUUUGAAUUGUUGGAUCGAUACAACCUUGAGGACAAUGAAUGGAUGAAAAAGAUGUAUGAGUUGAGGGAAAAGUGGGCUGCUGUCUAUCGUGACUCUUUUACAGCUGAUAUGAACUCGACUCAAAGGAGUGAAGGUAUAUUGUGCAAGCAUGCAUUCAAAGUCUUCAAUAUGAAUGAUUUUUUUUCAUUUUGCCACCACAAUAUAUACUAG